CUGGUCUCAGCUACCCACACUAACCCACACAUUUGUACGUAUAUGGCUUUAAUUUUAUGCAAAUUGGGACAGGAAGGGAUGCACAAUGUUGAAACAUGUCAGUGCUCCUUUUACAGAUAUUGUAGAAACUUUAAAAUCAAACAUUUAUAAGAGAACAUGUAAGUGCAAAGUUUCGUACUAUCAUAGAAUUUUUAGUAUUUUUAUUACAUUUAUUAAUACAUGCAACAAACAACUGACAACAAUUUUACUGAAAUUUAAUUCAGAAUUCCACUGUAAGUUUCAACUUUGGAUACUAUAUACCAAAAUACUAACUGAUCCUACUUUACUCUCAAUUUCAGAAGAACAUGGUGUUGGAAAGCAGAGGUGUUUUGCAUCUCUUGACAACAUUCAUUGUUUUUGUCCAUCAGUCCCUUAUCUUGCCAUGUAAUAUGUGGCAUUGUCUUCUUAAAUUGUUACGUCAUCCCCAGAUCAAACUUUUCAACCACAGGGGCUGGGAAAAGGGGCAUACAAUACAGCAUGAAUUUUCAAAAAUAUCAACAAUAGAAUUGGAGCCUUGUUUUGUUUUUCGAAAAUUUAAAAAAAAAAUGGAAAUAAGUCCUAUUUAGAUUAUGUGACACAUAGACCCUACCAAUCAGUCAGGUAGCUUUGAAUUGAAAAAAGGCACCCUACUAUGACCAUUUAUUAUAGUAAAUAAUUGACAGUGUUAAAAAAUAUAGUGAAAUACCAUUGCAGUUAAUUUAAGCAACUAUUUUGGUACCAGUUUGUCCAUCUGUGUAGCCUUCAAUUAGAAGAAAGGAAGAUUUACACCAUCACUUCUUCUAGGACUUGAAGGGUUCUUUGACUUUUAAGGUCAACAGUUGAGACUUUGCGGCAUCACAAAUACAAAGGUCUUCAAAUGAUUUCCCUUUUGGGUUACAGCUGAGAUAUUGAUGAGAUGAGAAUGGAAUUUGUGAUAAAUAUGACUUGUAGCAACUCGAAGCUUUGAGAAUGUUUCAUGCCAGAAGCUUCUAACUUCUAAGGUUGCAGUAAUAAUACCAAUGAUAUGUUUAGUGGAAACUGCAUCAUCUAGAGGAACUCCUUCUCAGACUGUAUUUGAUACACUCCCCUCCCCAACACCAAGCUCCUUCAAAAAUUCACUUUUCUUGUGUUUGAAUAUACAGCUACUUUAUUUAAUCAAUUUUUGUCUCUUCUACUUCCAGGUAAAUAGAGAAUAUCGCCAGGUCGACCCAUCACUUGAUCAUAAAUCAUCUUCUUGUGUAUAUAUCUAUGUCUCUUUGCCUUGGUUGGUCAGAUUAUGAACACUGAUAAGAACAGACUACUACUACUAUGUCAAUAGUCCAAUAAAGGCAGAGAGAAAGCAG
rnacentral:misc_RNA from 1 species